GCCUCCGUGGCCAAGUGGUAAAGCUCACAACUUUGAUUUGUAACGAUGUGGGUUCGAGGCCCGCCACGACUGGAGGGU